UGGAUUUAUUUACAGUUUGGACAAAAUGGGA
rnacentral:piRNA from 1 species